GCCGAGAUAGCUCAGUUGGUAGAGCAACGCACUUGUAAUGCGUAGGUCGCGAGUUCGAAUCUCGCUCUCGGCUCCA
rnacentral:tRNA from 1 species